rnacentral:lncRNA from 1 species
UAGUUCUGCUAACACUGACAUCUAUCUUGCCAAUUUCAGGGCUUCUGUGUUUUUUUACAUUCUGUCAGUAUCUUUCAACCUCAUUCAGCAAGUUCCUCUCUCCCACCCCACACCAUCUUCCUCCCUCCCUCCUGGGACUCACCAUGCCUUUCCAGAACCAUUUGUUUCUUCCUGUUAUACACUGAGAGUAAAGGACAGCUUCCUUCUGCUUCUCUCUGGUCUCUCUAGGCCCUCCAAUCUCUAUCCCAACUAGAGUCCUCAGUCUUGCCAACAUGUUUAUGGGUAAAACCUGUAAGCACUGACUGAAGGCUUAAGGCAGGUGCUGUUGCCACAACACAGAUGACAUCACAGAGAAGUCCAAGGCAUCUCCAGGAUACAAUAGAAUGUCCAGAGGGUGGAUUGCUAGGGUCGCCUCCACCAACCACACCUAUCUACCUAACUAAACCACCAGAAGCCAAGAUGCCUUUUCCAGGACACUUCCCUGAGACCCACUCCAAAGUCAGAGACCCCUCCCUUCACUAAGCUACUUGUACUGCUUCGAAGACAACUCACUUGCCAAGCACAGUCCAGGAAUGACUCCUCUUCAUGUCCUUUAUUCAAAAACAUGGGAAAUGAAAAUCGGUAGGAAAGUAAGUCAGGAUAACAGGGAGGAAAUAUCAGUCACCUGAACUGAACAAGCAGCUUGGGGAGAUCCACAGGGCUGUGUGUGGGUGGUGGGUGACUGUGGGUGUCCUACCAGAACAAAGAUGAGUUCCAUGGGCGAUGAGGAACCUUUCCCAAAUGGCUCCAGCAGAACACAUUCCAGCCAUCAUGAUGUUAGCAAAGGUGUGAUCAACUAUCCACAGGACACCUGAGGUAGUAAGGACUGGGGCUCCCCAGGUCAGCCACAGACACUAAGAGCAAACACUCACAGGAGGAGUCAUGGCCCAUUCCUGAACACAAGUUUGAGAAAAGUUGAAUGGCUAGUGAGAAGACAUGGCUAUGUAAGGGUAUUCUCAGUGGGACAAUCUAACAUGUCUCCACCAUGGAGAGACUAUGCAGCAUGUCACUGCUGCUUUACCCAGAGCCACCUGUGACAAUGCACAUGCCCUUAGGAUGAAAGGACUAACCAGCCAGAGCCACGCUGACUUUAUGACAAUCUGCAAACUGCAGUUUAGGAGACUAAGCCUACAUUUCUGUUUCCCAGAACUGGAAAAGUCCAAAACAAGUCAAUUCCAGGAAAAAAAUCACCCCUCAGGAAGCUGUCCCAUCACCUAGCCUGAGACAACCUCAAGGGCAGCAAAUCAGGAGCUAUAGACGCUGCCCUACCACCUAGCUUGAGCCAAGUAUAAUCAGCAAAAGUAGCCCAAAUUCCGCGAGCUUUAACAAAUCACAAAGGUCCCUAGAUCCUUGGAGGCAGAGUGAACCAAUCAAGAGAAAGAAAGGUAUAAAUUCCCCUACCCCUACCCUAAAAGGCUUUAAAUUGACCCUGCAAAGCCCACACCCCCGUCUUCCAUCCUGAUGUAAGGUGGACCCCUGCAUGUAGGUUCUCUGAUGGAUGGAUGCUCUUUGCUGUAGCGUACUGUUUGAGUCUGGGGUAUCAUUCUUCAUGAAUCACAGACCCGUACAAGGAAAGGUGACACAACCGGCUUUAUAGACAAUAUCCACUUGAACAUGAGAAGGGAAGGGAGAGGGCACAAAAGACCAGGUUAGUAAGGUGCCUUUCCCCGGGGCUUUAUCAGCACCCAGUUCACCUGUUUAAACUUACUGGUAGCCCUGAAAUAAAGAGCUGGAGCACAUUAAGCUGGAUUGACAAUCAUCCAGAAAUCUGGACCGUGGCUGCUUCCAUCUACUCGUGUACCCCAGAACAAGCAUAUACUGAAGACCUGAUGAGACAUCCAGCCACUUCGGGAACUGCACUACAAUAGAUUCUUGGAUCUUCCUUGAUAGGUAACCAUUGUUUGAUUAUACAGCCUAUUAUCCAUUCUAAUAAACUCUUGUAUCUUUGGGUUCAAGUCUGACAUUUAAAGGCGGAGGCAUCUUGUCAGCCCUAAAAUGUGUACCUAGGCUGGCCUUGAACUCAUUGUCCUCAUGCCUCUGGCUCCUUUAGCAAAUGUGAUUGGCAUGUGGCACCACAAUUGGCCAGAUAG